GUGCGGCGACCGGACUUCAAAUGCCGGUUCUGGGAGCAGCAGCACGGCCCGUUCGCUUCCCCCUC
rnacentral:tRNA from 11 species